rnacentral:rRNA from 1 species
UACGGAGGGUGCAAGCAUUAAUCGGAUUUAUUGGGCGUAAAGGGCGCGUAGGCGGAGAUAAAAGUCAGAUGUGAAAUCCUGGGGCUCAACCCCAGAACAGCAUUUGAAACUCUAUUUCUAGAGGGUAGGAGGAGAAAACGGAAUUCCACAAGUAGCGGUGAAAUGCUUAGAUAUGUGGAAGAACACCGGUGGCGAAGGCGGUUUUCUAUCUUAUUCCUGACGCUGAGGCGCGAAAGCAAGGGGAUCAAACAGG